rnacentral:rRNA from 1 species
UCAGAUUGAACGCUGGCGGAAUGCUUUACACAUGCAAGUCGAACGGCAGCACGGGAGCUUGCUCCUGGUGGCGAGUGGCGAACGGGUGAGUAAUAUAUCGGAACGUAUCCAAUAAUGGGGGAUAACUAGUCGAAAGAUUAGCUAAUACCGCAUACGCCCUGAGGGGGAAAGCUGGGGAUCUUCGGACCUAGCGUUAAUGGAGCGGCCGAUAUCUGAUUAGCUAGUAGGUGAGGUAAAGGCUCACCUAGGCUUCGAUCAGUAGCUGGUCUGAGAGGACGACCAGCCACACUGGAACUGAGACACGGUCCAGACUCCUACGGGAGGCAGCAGUGGGGAAUUUUGGACAAUGGGCGCAAGCCUGAUCCAGCCAUUCCGCGUGAGUGAAGAAGGCCUUCGGGUUGUAAAGCUCUUUCGCAAGGGAAGAAAACUUAACCUCUAACAUAGGUUGAGGCUGACGGUAC